UACGUAGGUGGCAAGCGUUAUCCGGAUUUAUUGGGCGUAAAGGGAACGCAGGCGGUCUUUUAAGUCUGAUGUGAAAGCCUUCGGCUUAACCGGAGUAGUGCAUUGGAAACUGGGAGACCUGAGUGCAGAAGAGGAGAGUGGAACUCCAUGUGUAGCGGUGAAAUGCGUAGAUAUAUGGAAGAACACCAGUGGCGAAAGCGGCUCUCUGGUCUGUAACUGACGCUGAGGGUCGAAAGCGUGGGUAGCAAACAGG
rnacentral:rRNA from 1 species